rnacentral:rRNA from 1 species
GUGGGGAAUAUUGGACAAUGGGCGCAAGCCUGAUCCAGCCAUGCCGCGUGAGUGAUGAAGGCCUUAGGGUUGUAAAGCUCUUUCAGCUGGGAAGAUAAUGACGGUACCAGCAGAAGAAGCCCCGGCUAACUUCGUGCCAGCAGCCGCGGUAAUACGAAGGGGGCUAGCGUUGUUCGGAAUCACUGGGCGUAAAGCGCACGUAGGCGGAUCAAUAAGUCAGGGGUGAAAUCCCGAGGCUCAACCUCGGAACUGCCUUUGAUACUGUUGACCUUGAGUCCGGGAGAGGUGAGUGGAACUCCGAGUGUAGAGGUGAAAUUCGUAGAUAUUCGGAAGAACACCAGUGGCGAAGGCGGCUCACUGGCCCGGUACUGACGCUGAGGCACGAAAGCGUGGGGAGCAAACAGGAUUAGAUACCCUUGUAGUCC